ensembl:lncRNA
CCGACACCUGGCUGGCUGCCCCUGUUAGCGAUUCAGCGGCGGGGAAAAGGUCGGUGGUUAACGGCUCCGGGGGACGAGACAGAGACUUCACAGAGCACAAGCUUGUUUUUUAUUAUAAUUCACAACUCUUAAUCACAUUGUGACAAAGCCAUAAGGAUGCAAUUGGGUUUGAAUUCAUCAUUCAACUCAAUGAUGGUACAAGUCAUUUUUUAAGACACUGUGAUAAAAACAUCUUUAUUUAACACAAUUGUUUCAAAGUGAAAACAUUUCAAACAUUUUGUCAAUUAAGCUUGUUAGUUAUCUAAAUGAAGCAGCGUGAGUGAAAUGAGGGAUCAUUUUAGGAGCGGCAGUUGCAUGUGUUUGGAUUUGCUCGUGCGUGUUUUGAUGUUCCAGUUCCCUCAAAGAGUAAUUCAUUCAAUCCCCGAAUGCCAAAUAGCAAAUUGCUUGUGCGGGAUGGGUGAGACGCGAAGGCCUUCCAUGUGACGAGGCGGCUCCUUUCAAGCCUCCCGCCAGCCGUCCCGCGCCGAUGCGCGCCGGCCCGUCGGGGGGGAGUGAUGCAUUUCAUCGACGAUCGCUCACCGCACACUUCAAACCUUCCCGAUGAGCCCAAGAGUCUCACCUUUCGCCCGUCUGCCCGUCCAUCACUCCGAGGGCUUACGGGCCGCGUUACUCGAACCCGCUCAAGCGCACUCGCGGGGGCCGAGCGGCUCGGCCAGCCAAGGCGCCGGCCUCUCGCCGCUUCCCCCGAACUGGCUUUAAAUUGAAGCGGCGUGUCUGUCGUCCUUGUGGCAGCGGACGUGGAGAGGAAUGUUCAGCCCGGGAAGUGCAACACUGCAGGGAGAAUCAAACCCAUGGACUUGAAUGUUAUCCAUUAAAGAGGCUUUCUUCCUUUACUUGAGUGUUGGAGAAGGUUUUUUUUUCGACCCACUGAGUCAUUCCUCAGGAGUCCCUCUGGGUUCAUCAGGUCUCAUUGCUAUUCUGGAUCCGGACCUGACAUUUCUCUCAUUCGUUCCAAAUGUGAGCGUAUCUGUUCCGGCCUAUAUAUCAAUAUAUAUAUAUAUAGAGAGAGAGAGAGAGAUACAAAGACGAUAUAAAUUGCUUGAUAACCUUCACUCUCACAUUUAAAUGUUCCGCCAUCAGUCGUCCAAAUCAGUUGAGCACUUACUUGUAGGAGAAAGUUUGGUGUUAAAAGUGCAUCUUUCGUUUAGAGGAGGCUCGGUAAUCGUUUGCAUCGUGACCUUUCCGUCUAGUUGAAAUGACAACCGACACGAGAUCGUCCAGAUUGUUGCACAUCCGUUGGCAUUUAAAUCGACAAAAAACACGCCAAAGACCAGGCGUGUUUAUCGUGCUUCAAGAGAUCCACCUUCAUCCGUUUACUCCUUAAUCCUUUCAUAGUUAUUAUGGACCAGAAUCUUCUAUUUAAACACUUUAUCGAGAGACAAAAAAAAUACACGCAAUACUUCAACCUUAAAAACACACCAUAUAUAUAUAAAUAUAUCACAUUUGUGUUGAAGACCAGUUUUACCAAAGCUGUUAAACUGUCCUGUUACCUGACAUUAUUCUCGCUGUGUUUAUCUGUACUCAGGAUGAGAGACGGUUGGGAUCUUCCAGCAGAGCCUUCUGUGUGAAUGAUGUUCUGUGCAGCUUGAAGACGAGCAGAGGGAGAGGCGUGCGUCUACACAAUAUCCAGAUAAUUAAGCUCUGACAUAACGGAGCGCGACGGAUUCACCGGGAAGCCGUUGGCCACGAAAAGGAACGGACGGACGAGCAGACUUUCAUUUUUUUUUUUUGCUACGAGUGUGUGAUGUGCUUUUGAUUGACUGGAGAAUUACUGCCAAACAUAUACGGGGGGUAAACAGAGGGCAAAAGCAGUUUGUUUGUUUGUUUGUUGUUGUUGUUGUGUAGACAUCGGGGGUCCAGGGGUCAGACCGCUGAGGGUGACUUUGACAGCACGCCACAGGGCUCUGGCACAAGACCGAGAGAAGAAAGAAGAAAACGCCACGAGGGAGGGGAAAAGAGAGAAAAGCCGUGAAAAUAAACGCAGACGAGAACAUUUGUGACAAAACAACAAAAAAUAAAUUCAAACAGCUUUUCCUCCAAGGCUCUUUUCUCCAAUCGCCCCUGUCGUAUUCUGCAAAGCUUCGCUGGCCUGUCACAAAAACAAGGUUAGCAGUCUUUUCCCCCCCCGGCUUAGUGGCCCCCUUUCUGUGGCAGAUACAAAAUGUUUUAUCAAACCCUGUUUAUGGAAAUGUCAUGUCUCGCUGCAUAAUAGAGGAGCUAGAGACGGAUGAAAAACAACACCAGAGGCUGACAGGCCGCCAGCGAGGGGAAGUUCCUGCGUUAAAAAUGAGUUCUCAACAAGGGGCUCGGGCAGAAAUGACCGCUCACCUCGGCGUCCCCUCGCGCUUUCACCUUCACCCGCGAGGCCCUGUUUGGGGUUUGGAUCCAUCCAAAAAAAUCAUCCAAAAAAUGUGCCCCAUUUCCAUGAGAGAACCAGAAAAAAAGAAAUGACAGAAAGAAAUGAGAUCUGAUGGCGGAUGUGGGGAACGGGGAGAUGAAACUGUCAAAUAUCUGUGUGAAAAAGCUCUUUAGUUCACUUGCACUAUUUGUAGCGGCAGCCGGCUCGUGCUAGAUUGGAUGCUAACACUGAAUUACACAAGCGAAUUCCUGCAAGUGCUCCGAAUUAACCCAGUUAGCUUUCACAGACUCAACAGUUGCCGUCCCAAUUUCCGAAUGCACCAGAUGUUUGGAUGCUUCGCACCGGGGGACCGGCGAGGACGAGAUCAAACCGGGAAGUUGUCAAUUAUUUGUUGAUUUUCUGAGAAAAUAAUCCAUCU